rnacentral:lncRNA from 1 species
CAGUAUCCACAGACCCCAUGCUCCCCAAUCACAGCACACCACCCCACCUUCAAUGUCUCACUCACCCUCUUCAACAUUUUAGCAAAAAGCUUUAGAUUCAUUCCUUGGAGCUGGGUAACAUUGCUUUUCAGCUUGUUAUUAGUGUUUCUGUUUUCUUUUUCUUUCUUUCUUCUCCUUUCUUUACUUGCUCAGGCCUCAAUAAAAGUUCCAAACACAAAAAGAAAAGGCAAGAAAAGCAGAGAUCUUUUCCCAGCUUUUUUUUUUUUUUAAAUUUUCUCUUAACCCUUCAAAAAGAAUCACUGUCUUAACCUGUUGUUUUCUUUUCCCACCUGGGUUUUCCAAUUCCACCUUUGUUUUUCUUUUGAGCUUUUUUUUUUUCUUUUUUCUUUUACUUACUGUUACUAAGAUAUCAAUCAAAGAGCUUGAAGCUGCAUAGAGAAGCUUUUUCACUUUUCACCACUAAAGCUUUCAUCUUUCCCAAUUCUUGGCUUCUUCUUCGUCUUCUAUUUCAGUUCCUUUCGAAUUGUUUCUUGGUUUCUUUAUUUUCACUGUUUGCUUCCCAUGGAAGUUUAACUGGGUAUAGUGUAGAUCUCAGUAUUGGGUUCUAGGGUUCCAUACUGGAAUAUUUUUAAGAGUUUUAUUU